rnacentral:rRNA from 1 species
AGAGUUUGAUCAUGGCUCAGGACGAACGCUGGCGGCGUGCCUAGUACAUGCGAGUCGUACGGCUGCGAAAGCUGCCAGUUGGCAGACGCUCGAGUAACACGUGGGCAACCUACCCCCAAGCGGCGGACAUUCGGCCGAAAGGCCGGUAAAUCCGCCAUGUGGUCGCCUGGCACUAGGCCUGGCGGCUAAAGCCGAUGAGGCGUUUGGGGAGGGACCCGCGGCCCAUCAGGUCGUUGGUGGGGUAACGGCCCACCAAGCCGAUGACGGGUAGCUGGUCUGAGAGGACGGCCAGCCUUGCGGGGACUGAGACAGGGCCCCGACUCCUACGGGAGGCAGCAGUAUGGGAUCUUGCGCAAUGGGCGAAAGCCUGACGCAGCGACGCCGCGUGGAGGAAGAAGGCCUUCGGGUCGUAAACUCCUUUUGCCGAGGAAGAAGGCCCGAUACCAGCGCUCGAGAGCGGGCCAUUAGCGUCCGAAGCUGAUGGCCGGAGCGAUGGUUCACGUCGGGCUUGACGGUACCCGGCGAAUAAGCCCCGACCAACUACGUGUCAGCAGUCGCGGCAAUACGUGGGGGGCGAGCGUUGUCCGGAUUCAUUGGGCGUAAAGAGCGCGUAGGUGGUGGCACCCGUCGGCCGUGAAAGCCCUCGGCUCAACCGAGGAAGGGCGGCCGAUACCGUGUCGCUUGGAGGACGGCAGGGGGAGGCGGAACUCCCGGUGGAGCGGUAAUAUGCGUUGAUAUCGGGAAGAACCUCAGUGGCGAAGGCGGCCUCCUAGACCGUUCCUGACGCUGAGGCGCGAAGGCGUGGGGAGCGAGCGGGAUUAGGAAACCCCGUUAGUCCGCGCAGUAAACGAUGGGCACUAGGUCCGGGGGGCAUUGACCCCUUCCGGGUCGAAGCUAACGCGUUAAGUGCCCCGCCUGGGGACAUACGGCCGCAAGGCUGAAACUCAAAUGAAUUGACGG